AGGUGGAGUGCGUAACAGUACCAUGCCCCUCUCUCCUCCAAACUGGAUCAGGAAAAGCGGCCUUGCUGGGCAAUGAUUCAAUCCAAAAGGCAAGAGCUCUUUCAGAAGUACUUUUCAGAAAGGCAAUAUCUCUUUUACUGGCCAAUGGGGUUCUCUCUUCUAAAAUUGGACUAAAAUUUCCCAGUGGGUUCUCCAAUUUAACUCUUUCUAAAACCUUUAGAAGCUAUGAAAGAAAGGGAAUAACCUUCCACUUGUCAUGUACAUCCUCUUAAGGUCUUCUCUCUUCUAUGUCAAAGCAUCGCAAAAUUACACAGUCUAUCAUUUAGUGUUGGAUAUUCCAAGGUAUAACUUCCUUCUCUACAUAUAUAUUCAUUUUGUAUGUUUUUCUAAUUUGUGAGGGUGAUUUCUGCCUGUACGUAUUAAUUGAUCCAUAUAUAAAAUACCAGCACUCAAAUUUUGUCAAAGAGGUUGGCCUGUUAAAUGUAGCAUUGUGGUGCUCAACAGAUUCUAUUUACAAUUUUAGUGUUCAAGUACAAACAAGUUAUACGCAUAUUUCAAACUCACUGGUGGUGUCAAUCUUGAUUCACUUUUUUUGGAUUCAGCAGCUAUAUGUUAUAGGCAUAUUCUCACUGUAAAAAUGCCCUAAAUGUGAGGCCUUGACUUACCUUUUCUUUUUGAAAUUAUUACUUUGCCAUUGUUUCGAUGUUACCACCACCACAUGGUUGUACUCUUCCACAUAAGUUCGACUCUACGUUUAAUCUGUAGUAAUUUAGUUGACUGAUUUUGCAUGCUAAUAAUUCAAUAGAUGGGCACAACUUUUUUUGGAGGGAAAUAGAUGGUUACAACUUAACAAUGUUGGGUGCAUUAUGUUCUGUCAAGACUUAAUAUAUGGGGGCUAUCGGUCAUGCACCUUUUCUUCUUUUGUAUUUGGGAGUAUUUUGUAUAUUUUGUGCAAUAUGAUUUGUGAAAUAUUUUUGGCCAAAUAUGUUUUUCGCCAUCUGCGGAUGAUUUUGGAAAACAUAGGUUGACAUUGAUAUCAAUCUAUCUAAAGAAAAUGAUAUUGAUUCUUCCUCGUGCUCUAUUAUUAGUGAUCCUGUAACAGCUUUCUUAUCCAUUCAUACAAGUCAAAGAUGCGCACAUUGUUGCUUCCUUGUGCUUUGUUAAUAUUGAUUUUCUAAUGGAUUUUUAUAGAUAAAUUUAUGUGCAUGGCACAGAUUAACAGUUUGGCCAGGCUUUUGUACUGAGCGAUGUCAUUUUGAAAAAAAACUGAAUAAACUACAGCCCAUCAGACGAGAAAAGGCUGAUUCUGCCAAUUCAAGUUCGAUGUCUGGCUAGGUGUCUUGUGUAGACUUGACAUGGGCUAUGUUGGACACUAGCAAGUGUUCCCAAUCACAUCUUAAAGAAAUUCAAGUUCGCUGCAGGAAAGGUUUGCUCUUUCAAAAUCAAUGCACUUGUGAGUACCAAGCUGAAUAAGGUUUAUUAUGCAUGCUGAAUAAGUUUCAUUUUUCAGAAACUUGUCAAGGGACGAGACGACGGACUUUAGAGAAUUUGACUCCCAGUAUAGUGAUAAAUAGAGGGAAAAUUAACCUUAAGGUCCUAAGGGCUGCUUUAUAAAAGCUUUGUACCAAAUUUACUGAAUUAGAAAUAACAGUUGAUACAGCUGAUGGAGGUGUAUGAACGGGCAGUUCUUGCAGUUACUUAUUCAGUGGACAUAUGGUGUAAUUAUUGUCAGUUUGCGAUUUCAACAUACAAUGACCCAGAUGUCAUCAGAAGGUAGCAAUUGAAUAUCGGGACUAUUCCAAUGAAGUUUUUUUAAUAUAUUUUUAUAGUGUCUUGACUUUUGUUAACUACCGCAUUUUAGGCUGUAUGUGUAUAUAUAGGAAUACAUACAUGGCAAGAAGGGAUUUUACAAUACCUAGGACCUGCACAGGAAUGCUUGAUGAAAUGCUUUAUAAUAUUUAACACUGUUUUUCGGCGGUCCUUGUGGUAGGAAAGUGAUCCAUUCUUCGAAAACUCAUCUACUACUACUCACCAAAUCACAUCGUUCCAUAUAUGGACUAACUGAGAAUCUGGGAUUUUUCCAUCAAUCGCACUGCCUUUCCAUCCCCUCCAUCAACAAGCGAUCAAUCUUCCACAUCGCAAAAAAAAGAAGAGAGUCAAUCUUCCAAAUCACUUCAUUCCAUAUAUGGACUAACUUGGAAUCUGGGAUUCCAUCGAUCGCGCUACCUACAUGCCCCUCCAACAAGCGAUCAAUCUCAGCACAGAAGGCUCUUUGUUUUCUUGACGCUCGUGGCUUUUGUAGCAAAUUCUAUUUGUUCUUCGCCGCUUUGGGUUGUGGGGCUUACUUCCUAGCCCCGCCUGCUUGUUGUACCACCGCCCACUUUGUGGCUCUAGCGCCAGCGCCAGCCUGGGACAUCUCUCUAUCCGGGCCGGCAUACCGGGAUGUUGCAGGGCCGCCGUCACCUCGAGAAGGGGCGAGGAGUCCAUCGUAUGCCCAGUUGAUGUCCCUGGGUACUCACUGUGGCACGAAGAGUCCCUCACCGUUGUCCUCUUCGACCAGCAUAACAACGACGGGUCAGCCUGUGCACACUACAAACUGAGGGCGCAGAUGUGCCACGCACAAGACACAAGGGUGACAAGGCCAGGAGCGGCAGCAGGCGGCGGUGGAGCACGCAGCAAGGUGGAUUUUCUGAAGAUCUUGUGAUUUUCUAAAGAACAUGUCUGCUUGUUCAGGAGGCAAAUAACUGAAGCUGAAGGCUCUUUUCUGAAUGAUGAUAAAUCUAGGAGAGGAUGACGAAUUAGUUUGUGCAAAUCUCCCACUGAUUUGUGUCCUCGAAGUCCUUUCUUGCAUGGUUUUUAUAAUACGGAUUAGACAUUUCUUGCUUGCAAACAACUUAUUGCAUCUCUUCUUGUUGCAUGAACAACCAUAUAUAUACUCCUAGAGCGGCAGAGCUAAUGCAUCAGGAUAGGCAAGCAUCAUGGCACAUUGGUGCAGUGCAUCUUGAAGGAUAACAACAGUAUCUUACGAGAGUGGAGCAACAUUUUCAAUCGGCAAAAUGAUUUGGUGUAAUACAAGCUUCCUGGGGAAAUCUGGUUUAGCUUUCAGUCCAGCUUUGAUGAUAAAAUAACAUCAGCCUACCUCGAACAUAACUUUAAUAAAGAAAUCUUUGCAAGGAAUAUGUGUGAUUUCGGAGGAGCCAAGUUGCAAGGAGCUAAUGGGACACGAAAUGCUUGUUUUUCUUUGCUCUGAUCUUUCAAAUUUGUGGAUAAAAUUUCACCCAACUAUAAUAUGAUGUCAUCAAAUGAUACAGAAUGCCAAUACUACAUG